CCCCGCUGGCUCAAGGUUUUCUAUCCGUCCACUUACCUCUCCCACUGGCGUGCACGGCGAGUGCGAUGGCAACGGCCAGUGGCCACUGGUGGCUAAAGCUGACUUGAUGCAUGUGUUAUGGAAGAUGAAACGUGAGGCAGCGGAGAGCUGGGGAUGCUAAUGUUGAUUUGCUCUGCACCAUUCCUCCAACGUGGAGAUCAGCAACGAGGGCAGGAACAAGCUUUGUGUACUCAAAAGGGACUUCACUUUCCUGAAUUUCUGAAUGCUUCACUCAAUUUGAUUCAGAUUAUGUGUGGCACUGACCGUAAUGCCCCUCUUUUGGAUUCAGUGUGAGGACACAAGCAGCUGGUGGUUAAGCUGGUUUGUACCAGCUGAGAGUCUGAGCUCCCAUGGUGUCUCACUCCGUGAAGAUCAUGGAGCUCAUUGCCAGAGCCAUUGUCGAGCCGUAGUUCAUCAGCUAGGGGCAGAGGAGGUCAUCACAAUAAUCUUUUGUGGCGCCUCCUCUAUUGUUUUACUUACUGUAAUUUCAGCUGUAAGAUUCGUAUGUGCAAAUCCAUGUAUGCCUUUUCUUUAAAGUUUAGUGUAAAUAGUUGCCCCUAUAUGUCAUACUGAUUCAUAACCUUUCUGAUAUCUGAAACGUAUUUUUAAUUUUGUUACAACAAUUGGGCCACCUUAUAUGUAGUCGUAUAUACAACAUUAAAUUGAUUUAGUUGUGGUUAAUUGUGACCAAUCCCCCAAAGAGUUUU